GACAGAGGGUGCAAACGUUGUUCGGAGUCACUGGGCGUAAAGCGCGUGUAGGCGGCAAUGCAAGUCGGAUGUGAAAUCCCGCGGCUCAACCGUGGAAGUGCACCCGAAACUGCAUAGCUAGAGUGUCGGAGAGGAAGGUGGAAUGCUUGGUGUAGAGGUGAAAUUCGUAGAUAUCAAGCGGAACACCGGUGGCGAAGGCGGC
rnacentral:rRNA from 1 species